rnacentral:misc_RNA from 1 species
GAAAUGCGAUAAGUAGUGUGAAUUGCAGAAUUCAGUGAAUCAUCGAGUCUUUGAACGCACAUUGCGCCCCUUGGUAUUCCAUGGGGCAUGCCUGUUCGAGCGUCAUUUGUACCCUCAAGCUCUGCUUGGUGUUGGGUGUUUGUCCCCGUCUCCGCGCGUGGACUCGCCCCAAAGUGAUUGGCAGCCGGCGUACUGGUCCCGGAGCGCAGCACAUGUCGCGCAAACGAGUGCCUUGGUACGGCGGCGUCCAUAAGCCCCUCUCUCACGCUCUUGACCUCGGAUCAGGUAGGGAUACCCGCUGAACUUAAGC